rnacentral:rRNA from 1 species
UACGAAGGGGACUAGCGUUGUUCGGAAUUACUGGGCGUAAAGCGCACGUAGGCGGAUUUGUUAGUCAGGGGUGAAAUCCCGGGGCUCAACCUCGGAACUGCCUUUGAUACUGCAAAUCUCGAGUCCGAUAGAGGUGGGUGGAAUUCCUAGUGUAGAGGUGAAAUUCGUAGAUAUUCGGAAGAACACCAGUGGCGAAGGCGACUUACUGGACGAUUGUUGACGCUGAGGUGCGAAAGCGUGGGGAGCAAACAGG